GAUGAACGCUCGCUACAGGCUUAACACAUGCAAGUCGAGGGGAAACGACAUCGAAAGCUUGCUUUUGAUGGGCGUCGACCGGCGCACGGGUGAGUAACGCGUAUCCAACCUGCCCAUCACUUGGGAAUAACCUUGCGAAAGUAAGACUAAUACCCAAUGAUAUCCCACGAAGGCAUCGGAAUGGGAUUAAAGAUUUAUCGGUGAUGGAUGGGGAUGCGUCUGAUUAGCUUGUUGGCGGGGUAACGGCCCACCAAGGCAACGAUCAGUAGGGGUUCUGAGAGGAAGGUCCCCCACAUUGGAACUGAGACACGGUCCAAACUCCUACGGGAGGCAGCAGUGAGGAAUAUUGGUCAAUGGGCGAGAGCCUGAACCAGCCAAGUAGCGUGCAGGAAGACGGCCCUAUGGGUUGUAAACUGCUUUUAUAAGGGAAUAAAGUGGGUCACGUGUGACUUUUUGCAUGUACCUUAUGAAUAAGGAUCGGCUAAUUCCGCG
rnacentral:rRNA from 1 species